rnacentral:rRNA from 1 species
GAUGAACGCUGGCGGCGUGCCUAAUACAUGCAAGCCGAGCGAACAGACGAGGAGCUUGCUCCUCUGACGUUAGCGGCGGACGGGUGAGUAACACGUGGAUAACCUACCUAUAAGACUGGGAUAACUUCGGGAAACCGGAGCUAAUACCGGAUAAUAUAUUGAACCGCAUGGUUCAAUAGUGAAAGACGGUUUUGCUGUCACUUAUAGAUGGAUCCGCGCCGCAUUAGCUAGUUGGUAAGGUAACGGCUUACCAAGGCAACGAUGCGUAGCCGACCUGAGAGGGUGAUCGGCCACACUGGAACUGAGACACGGUCCAGACUCCUACGGGAGGCAGCAGUAGGGAAUCUUCCGCAAUGGGCGAAAGCCUGACGGAGCAACGCCGCGUGAGUGAUGAGGGUCUUCGGAUCGUAAAACUCUGUUAUUAGGGAAGAACAAAUGUGUAAGUAACUAUGCACGUCUUGACGGUACCUAAUCAGAAAGCCACGGCUAACUACGUG